GUAGUGACAUGUUCAUUUUGUUCAUUUUUAUUUUGUGUGGAAAAGAGAGAUUAGAAAUGUGAUCAUGUCAGCCUUAAAAAAAAAAAAAAAAUGUUUAAUUUGUAGAUCACAACUUCUCCCAAGUACAUGGCUCCAUAAGGCUGGGAUUCCAGAAGGGAUGCUUUCCCCUCCCUGCUGCCAACGUAUGUGCCCUGUGUGCUCUCAGCAAAUGUUCCCCAUCAGCUCUGGACAGCAAAUGAAAGUGGGAAGAAGUUGGAGGUUUUCCCUAAAAGAAGGGAAGUCAUGAUACAUUGUUCAUCAUCGAGUAAAUCAAGCACCUGAGAUGUCACAUAGGUGACACGAUGCCUACACUACACAACAGUACUCUUCCCUGCCCUCCAUCCCCCAGCAAAAGGGCUACCUAUAGAAGCUGCAUGGUACUGACCUGGUCGUUAUGGGUAUAACCAUACACACAUAAGUGCAAUGGGGACAACAAAGGCAAUAAGGGCAAAAAACAGAUUGAAGCGAUGGCCUGGAAAUUUGCUUACAGAAAGAAAAGGCA
rnacentral:lncRNA from 1 species